CUUCCCCAUGACUUUACAUAAGAAUUGUUUCCAGAGCCAAGAAACAAUUUUCUUAUUUUUCUCCUCAUUUCUGUGUCAUUUAGUGAAUUCUGUGUUUUUCCAAAGGGGGGGAUAGUGCUCUUUUCCAGCUGAUUUUGACCUCUCUUGUUCUGUGCUGUUAUUUUUUAAAACAAAGGCUAGUUCAUUUAAAACUCACUUUGAAAUUUGAAUUCAUGGUGUUUUGUUCUCUGUCAGGAGUUAGCGAACUAUAGCCUGGGGGCCAAAUUCAGCUGGCCUGUUUUUAUAAAGUUUUAUUGGAACACAGCCCUGCCCAUCUGUUUACCUUUUGCCUGUGGCUGGCUUUUGUGCUAUAGUUGACUUGAGUAGUUGUGACAGAGUCCCUCUGGCCCACAAAGGCAAAAGUAUCUAUUUCCUGGCCCUUCUCAGAAAAAGAUUGCUGGUCCUUGCUUCAAAAAUGUAGCAUGCCUCUGGAAUAUGUUUUAGAUGUUACACCUACUUUUCUAAUCCCCAUGUUUAAGAGUUUUCUUGCAUUUAUUCUUUACUUUUUCACAAAGAGAUCAUUCAUCUUUUAUUGAAAAAAAUGUUCAGAACCAUUUGGAGGUUUGUCUCGAUCUUGUCAGGUCUAUGCAGUUAUAUUGUCAAAUAACUCUCUAGACUAGUACUAUCCAAUGGAAAUAUAACGCAAGCCUUGUAGACAAUUAAGUUCUCUAGUUGCUACAUUAAUAAAGGUGAAAAUAGGUGAAAUACAUUUUAAUAAUAUAUUUUAUUUAGCCCAAUAUAUCUGUUUUCUCCCAAAGCCUUGACUCUGUUUACAAAUAGGUAAUCUCUUCCAAAUGCUUUCCUCACAGGCAAGAAUUGUUUAAAACCACACAAGCCAGUGAUAUGAUGCACUAAUUUAGAGUCUCUCUUUUUAUUAUUUGUUCCACAUGUAUACAUUAAAGAAAACAUUUAAAUUAACAUAUAUUUCAAAGGAGUAAUAUGUUUUCAAAACUAGUACCUAUCAAGAAAUAAAAAAGAAAUACAUCUUUUUAAUUUAUUUAAAAAAAUUUUUAAAGUUUAUUUAUUUUUGAGAGAGAGAGAGAGAGCAGGGGAGGGGCAGAGAGAGAGGUAGAGAGAGAAUCCCAAGAAGGUUCUGCACUGCCAGCGCAGAGCCCAACUCGGGGCUCAAACCCACGACACUGCGAGGUCAUGGCCUGAGCCGAAACCAAGAGUCAGACACUUAACCGACUUAACCAGGCACCCCUUAUUAUUAUUUUUUUUUAUUUUACGGAGAGAGAGAGGGGUAGAGGAGGAGAGAGAAAGAAUCCCAAGCAGGCAGAGCCCAACGUGGGACUCUGUUCCACAACCCUGGGAUCACGACCUGAGCUGUAAUCAAGAGUUGGAUGCUAAACAGACUGAGCCACCCGGGCACCCCAGAAAUACAUCUUUCAACAGGAAAGCAUAGCAGCAGUUUUAGGGAGCUCAUGUAAAAAUGAUUGUAAUGACAGCACAAAAUCAAAGCAUUUAUUGAUUUACCACCAAGAUCACUACCUACUUUUAAGUGAGGGAAGCCUGGGGGUGGAGCUGUGGUGAGGGAUUUGUAGGAUCACACUCACCUCCCUCCUCCCUUCAACUGAGUGAAGUGGACUGAACUCUGUUUUGUUCCUCAGGAGGGAUUGGUUGAUGUCUGUGUGCGACAGGUUAUAAAUGAAAAAAAUCACCAGGCCUAGCAAUUAAGAGAUGUAUUUUUGUUUAAUUUUUUUUUUUAUUGAAGGUAAUUAACAUACGCAGUGUUAACAUUAGUUUCAGGCAUCAAACAUUUCAGCGUUUCUGUACAUGACUCGGCGCUCAUGCAGUAAGUGGAGUCACCAUCUGUCACCAGACAACACUAUUGCAGUCUUACUGACUUUGUUUCCUGUGCUGUGCUUUUCAUCUCCAUGAUUUAUCUAUUUUAUAACUGGAAGGUUGCGCCCCUUAAUCUCCCUUUUCAAUUUCUCCCAGCCCCUCCCCGCCAACUCCCCACUGACAGUUCUCCAUAUGUAAGAGUCUGGUUUUUGUUUGUCUCUUUUUUUCUUCGUUUGUUUCGUUUCUUAAAUUCCAUGUGUGAGUGAAAUCAUUUGUCUUUCUCUGUCUGACUUACUUCACUUAGCAUUAUACUCUACAUCUAACCAUGUUGUUGCAAAUGGCAGGAUCACAUUAUUUUUUACAGCUGAGUACUAUUCCAUUGUGUGUGUUUAUAUAAUGUAUGUAUUUAUAUUAUAUGUAUAAUAUAUAUGUGUGAGUAUGUGUAUAUUGUGUGUGUAUAUAUCUAUAUAUAUAUAGAUAAAUAGAUAUGCACACCACAUCUUCUUUAUCCAUCAUCUGUGGAUAGACACUGAGGCUACUUCCAUAUCCCAGCUUUUAUACAAUGCUGCAGUAAACCUAGAGAUGCAUAUUUCAAAUUAAGAAAUGUAUUCUAAAACUUUUCCACUGACUGCCAGUUGCCCCAGUUAUAAAAUGAAAAGAUCACACAAGACUAUAUGAUCUUUAAGAUAGCACAUCUUGACUUUUUUGGCAAGGUUUGAUAUUUUGGUUUGUUUUUUUUUUUUUUACCUUCAGUUUCUAGUUGUGUUUGAUUUAGAUUGUCAGUCCUAACCUGGGCUUUUCACCACACACUGUACCAUAUGCCUUUUCUUUUGUGGUCUGUUUCUGUAAUCACUCUAAUCACUGAAAUCCAUUGUUCUUCUCACCUGUCUACACACAUACUGAGUGUCAGACAUAGGCUUCAGAUUUAGGUGUGGCAAGCACCACAGAAACGUUAGUAAGAUUUGAAGUUUAGCGGAGCAGAUACAGCACAUAUCUUACACUGCCCUAUCGUGCUGGUGUUUGAAAGAGGAAAGAAAUAGCGCCAGGGGUGCUUAGGCCUUCAAAAGAGGAAUGGGACUAUGCAAUCAUAACAGUAACCCAAGUACUUUGCUUUAUAUAUGACUUCCAAUUUAGCCAAUUUUUCUCCUUUCUCCAAGGAAGCAAGAUGGUCAGGCCAAAAAUGAAGACUCAUCCUUAAUUAAUUUGCUUGUUUUGUGUCUCUCACAUUCCCUAUCCAGUUGAAAAGUAAGCCCUGUGGGAUGUGCCUGCAAAAUAGAUCCAAGUCAUGACGUCUUCUCCAUUUCUACCGUGGCCACCCUCAAGCAAGCCAGCGUUAUGACUCCCCCGGACUCCUGUACCAGGAGCCCAACUGAUUAGCCAGCUUCCAUUCUUGCCCUCCUAAUAUCCAUUCUCCUCCUAGAAGCCAGAGAGAUUUGGGGCGCCCGGGUGGCUCAGUCAGUUAAGCAUCUGACUUUGGCUCAGGUCACGAUCUCGCAAUUCGUGGGUUCGAGCCCCACUUUGGACUCUGCCUGGAGCCUGCUUUGGAUUCUGUGUCUCCCUCUCUCGGCCUCUCCCCCACCCAUGCUCUGUCUCUUUCUUUCUCUCAAAAGUAAUAAAUAAACAUUUAAAAAGAUUGUAAAAACAAGCCAGAGAGACUGAAAACAACAAAUCAAACAAUGUUACUUUCUAUUUAUAACCCUUCUGAUGGACCAGAGCACUUUUGAUAAAAUCCAAGUGCCGUAGCUUGGCCAGCAUAGCCCCCAAGGAGCCUCUCCAGCCUUCCUUUCCCACUCUCUGUUCCUGGCCCUCCUGGAUAAGCCCAGACUUGCCUCCUGGUCUCAGGACAGAACAAGCUCCCUUCUGUCUUGGACCUUUAUACUAGUUCCUUCUAAAUGAAAAUGGUUCAUUUCCUUUAUCUUGAUGCAGAUGCUGACGUCUUAUGCUGGUAUCUGUCAGCUUAGAUCUCACCACAGGGAAGGCUUCCACUUAGCGUCCAACCCAAAGAAGUCAACCAUCACUUCUGUCGCACUGCCCUGCUUCUGUUCUCUGUACAGCACGUAUUUUCUUGUUUGUCAUCUCUCACUCCUUGCUAAAACAUAAGUUCCAUAGAGACAGGGAUACUGUUUUGUUUACUGAAGUAUUUAGAACCAUAUUCGACACUUAGCAAGUGUUCAGCAAAUAUUCUGUGAAUGGAUAAAGAUCUCAUGGCACUGGUUUGCCAGUAGGAUUACAUUAGGGACAGAUUGGCUGCGAAGCUGUGAAAGGAAUCCCAUGCAAGGUGGUGAGAAUCGGAAGGAAAAAGUUAAUCUUAGAGGCAUCCUAAAAAAAUAAGUAUGCUGGGGGCGCCUGGGUGACUCAGUUGGUUAAGAGUCCUACUCUUGAUUGUGGCUUAGGUCAAGAUCUCACGGUUUAUGAGUUCAAGCCCCACAUCAGGCUCUAGUGCGGAGCCUACUUGAGAGUCUCUCCUUGUCUGCCCCAGCCCUGCUCACUCUCUCUCUCAAAAAAUAGAUAAAUAAACUUAAAAAAAAUUUAAAGAAACGUAAGUAUGCUGAUAGACUUAUUGAUAAGCAGAGUUUUUUUUAUCUCCAGUAUUCAGGAAGGAGUCAAGAUUUAAACAAAAAUUUUUUUAAUGUUUAUUUAUUUCUGAGACAGAGCAUGAGUUGGGGAAGGGUGGAGAGAGAGGGAGAAACAGGAUCCGAAGCAGGCUCUGGGCUCUGAGCUGUCUGCACAGAGCCCGAUGUGGGGCUUGAACUCACAGACCGCAGACUGUGAGGUCAUGACCUGAGCCAAAGUCGGACGCUCAACCAACUGAGCCACCCAGGCGCCCCAGGACUCAAGAUUUCUAAUGAUAGAACAUAAAAAGAAUAGGAUCAGCUGUGUCAGAACUGUGGGAAGAGAUUCCAUGUGAAACUAAAGGCAAGUCUAUGGGGAACAUCUUGAGGUAGAGCCAGAGGUUUUGAAAUUAAGAAUUUAGAGCACAAGUUGGAGCUCUAGGUAAUAGAUUUUCGAUUUCUCUGUUUAAAGGCCAGGCAAAAUCAGGGUCUUUUAAAGUAUGCAGAUACCGUGGAAAACCUUUUUCUACUGACUGUUUACUGAAAAACUGUUAUCAGCAGCUUGAUUCCCGGGCUCUCAGCCAGGACGGUGGUCUCUGCGCCCUAGGUCACUUAGAGUAAUCAUUCUUUUAGUAUUUUAGAGCUUGGUAAGCUUCCUUAGUCUGGAUAGACACAAUUGAUAAGAAAGACUACAUGGUUGGUUGCCUUUUAAUAAUUCUUUCCUUUUGCUCCCAAGUUUUCUGUUCUGUUUGUUAUUAGGGGUCUAUAGUCAAGCACAUCUAUAGCCCAUCUGCACAAACUACACAGAAAUCUAAACCCCCUUAAGAGAUUUUAAAGUACUGACUAGUGUUUAUAGUAAACUUUCAUUUGAAUAACAAAUACAUAUACUUGUAAAAGUAUCUAAGCCAAGAGGAGCCUUCCCUUGGGGCAACUUUAAUUCCAGUUAGGCCGAUUAGCAAACCUCGCAGGGGUGUUCCUUAUUAAUUUUCUCCCCCUUUGCCCAGGUCUUUGGCUCAUCCUCCUUCACUUUGUCCUUUUUCAGAUAUCUCCAUCAGUUUACCAGGACAAAUGAUGUGUGUACUCCAGAUCAGAAAUGGGAAUUUACUGUUGCACGUCCUGUGCCCUAAUCCACGGGCCCUAACAGUUCUGGUGUCUGCUUGGGUGCUGCCGCAGGUGCCAGACACACGUUCCAUUACUUGAUUUUUU